rnacentral:rRNA from 1 species
GACGAACGCUGGCGGCGUGCUUAACACAUGCAAGUCGAACGGAAAGGCCCUGCUUUUGUGGGGUGCUCGAGUGGCGAACGGGUGAGUAACACGUGAGUAACCUGCCCUUGACUUUGGGAUAACUUCAGGAAACUGGGGCUAAUACCGGAUAGGAGCUCCUGCUGCAUGGUGGGGGUUGGAAAGUUUCGGCGGUUGGGGAUGGACUUGCGGCUUAUCAGCUUGUUGGUGGGGUAGUGGCUUACCAAGGCUUUGACGGGUAGCCGGCCUGAGAGGGUGACCGGCCACAUUGGGACUGAGAUACGGCCCAGACUCCUACGGGAGGCGGCAGUGGGGAAUAUUGCACAAUGGGCGGAAGCCUGAUGCAGCAACGCCGCGUGCGGGAUGACGGCCUUCGGGUUGUAAACCGCUUUCGCCUGUGACGAAGCGUGAGUGACGGUAAUGGGUAAAGAAGCACCGGCUAACUACGUG